AGGUUCCGGGAGCGCGCGUGUGCGCGGGGCGCCGCGGCCGAGCCGCGCAGCGCGAGCCGAAGCGGCUCGCCCCUCCUGCGUGUUGAAAUUCAAAUGAACUGAACUCCCUCCACGCCGCGCCGGCAGAGAGGUCGAGGCCCGGGUGAGAUGGAGGGGGACGCGCUCCCAGCCUAGUCCGAGGUACCCUGGGCGGGGUCGAACCUGCGGCCAAUGUGAGCAGCGGAGGCUUAAAGAGCUCUGGUCCCCGCCUCCCGCCGCACGAUGGCAACCAGGCGGUGGUUCUUGGGGCCGCUCCCCGCGGGCCCUGGGGAAACGCCGCUCCCGGACGACUUGGAACCUGGGGUACAGCCCUGCGAAGACCCCUCAUGGUCGCCUCCCACUGGCCGACCUGGGGACUCACCCCAGGCGGAGCCCGAGGAUAUCCAGGGGCAGCUGCCCGAGGCCUCCACCUCUACGCCUUUCCCUGAGCCUCUGGCCCCAGGCCCCGGGCCUGCCCCUCCUCGCCUACCCUUGGACACCAUGUUCAGCCCCAUCAGCGAACAGCUCCGUUACCUGCUCAAGAAGGCAGAUGAUUUCCAGAGCUACUUGUUCUACAGCUGUUGGAGAUCUCCCAACAGCUGACUCUGCGCCUGGAACAGCUGGUCCUUAUGUAUGCAUCAUUUGGGUUUGUGAACCUGGAGGAGACUGACCCCCUAAGCAUCUCCUGUUUCUUCUGCGGGAGGUUCUCCAUCAGUCCUUCCCACGAGGUGUCCAUCUUUAGAUACUGUGCCCCUGCCGCCUACACCGCCAGCCGCUUCCCCCGAUACCUCUAUAAGAAGAUGCGCUGGAACCUGGAAACCACCCCAGAGUCCAGCAGCCAGGGGCAAGAUUCCCGUGUGGAUUAGUGAGUCCCCUUAUCAGAAUCAAAGUCCUCCCCUCUCUAUGGAGAAUGCCAGUUUGGGCCACUGAACCACCACCGUCAAAGUAUGGAAAGCCAAGCAGGAAAUCAAGGACAUUUGAAAGGUCAUCCCCACCUUUAAAAAUAUAUAUAUGCCCCCAUCAAAAUAAAAGCCCUCAUCUUAAAAGUAGGCUGACAGUGAGAAAAGGCCUCAGUAUUGAAUCAUAUCCCUACCUGAAAACUUGAAGGCAACUUCUGAUGAGUUUCCACCAUACCUCCAGAAUUAAAACCCUCCAACAGAAGUUAGGAAACUACUCACAUUUAAUUGCUGCCCCUUCCCCUCCCAGCUACUUUCUGUGCUAUAGAGAUACAUGGGAAGACACAGGCAAGAGUCCAACCAACUCAUGCCCCCAGAUUCAGAAGCUGUGGUCCAUCGGCCGAUGGGUGCCCCUAGGACCAGCUGAGGAUGACCUUUAUUCAUGGUAGGAGCUAGGGCGAUGGCAAGGUGGGCGUGGGGUCUGGAGGGAGGGGCAGAACCCAAACAAAGACCAUCUACCUCCUGCAACACUGUUUCCAUUGGUAAUAAUGAUAGCAUUUUAUUGUGCCCUGAAAAGCGCUUUAUGCAGACUCGUGUAACAACCCACUGAGGUCUAUACUACUAGCCCCAUUUUACAACGAAGGAAACAGGUGCUCAGAGAGGAUAAAUUACCUGCCCAAGGACACACAGCUAGCUGAGUAAUUGGCCAGGUCAGGGCUACAGUUGUUCAGCCUCCCAGAGCCAUUACCCUCUGUGUUUCUCAUCAACAAGAAAAUCACUUUCCCCCAGGGUUUUUCCCACCCCUAGCUGAAACAAAGCCUCUCUCAGCCACAGCCUCUCACUCAAGGGGAGGGGCUCCCGAGUAGCAGGGGGCGCUCACAUCCAGGCCUGUCUCUCCCCGGCCCCCAGGAUUUUGUCCCCGCAGCCUCCUGGGGACUACGAGCAGCUGCUGACCAUCGGCUUCGAGGAGCCGUCGCACAUGCUGGCCACCGACCUGCUGGUGCAGAUCCUCACGGGCCAGGCAGGCACGGCCCGGCCCCCGAGCGCCGCCGGGCCCGCGGCGUGGGCCGCGCAGGAGUCUUGAACCUGGAGAGAGGGUGGGAGUUGGAGCUUGACAGUUCCAAACUCCAGGAGAGGGAGUAGUGGAGGGGCUCACUCGUUCUCCUAGUGCAGCUCCGCCUCGCCUUCCAAGGGGCCAGGCCGAGCUAGCCCGUCCGCACUGGGUCCGGCCCGGCCGCGGGGCCCUGUGGCUGGACACACCGGUUUUAUGUUAAAUAAAAGAAAGAAAGAGGU